GCCUUUCCCACCCAGUUAGCUGUCUUGUCUCCUUGAUGGCUGCUGUCUCAACAUAAGUUCUCAGCUCCUGCUCUAGAGCCAUGCUUGCCUGUUUCCAUGCUUCUCCAGACGAUGGUCAUGAACUCUGCUGCCCUCCGGAAUCAUGAGCCCCAGACUAAAUGCUUUCUUACGAACUGUGAGCAACCAUUCCGGGACCUGACAUUCUGUAAACUUCACACCACCUUCCAGCAUACCCAGCCAGGAGUACUUCCUGGAUAAAAUAUUAAACGCGCAAAUCUGAGAAGUGCCUUAACCAGCGACAGACUGCACGACCACAGCCUGGCGAAGGAGACGCACGCCGUCCGGGGGUGGGAAGAUAUGCUCACACGAUCUGAAAUUCGCUGCUGUGAAAACAGAAGGAAACGGUCCUGUCAGGAGAACCAGCCCCUGCAGUUCCCUAAGGCUGGCACAAUGGAGGAAGGUUCCUCUCCGCCUGAGUUCCUACCUCGGUGAUGGACUCCGUGAUGGACUAUGAUCCUGACACCCACAACUAAGAUCCGGCAGGUGCUUGCAGACAGUGACAUCUUGUGGGAAAUCUCAGGAACUGCACCGUGGCAAAUCGCUGCUCCUUUUACUGUGGGGUCCUUGGAAUACCCAGUCAACAUCAAGGAAGCAUUCAUUCAUUCACUGCCUUCUGUGUACAAGGAACUGAUCCAAGUCCUGGAAUAAAGAAAGCAAGAGAGACUGGAUGGCUA
rnacentral:lncRNA from 1 species